rnacentral:rRNA from 1 species
AAAGGUGAAACCUAAUUGGCCUGAAGAAGAGCUUGCGUCUGAUUAGCUAGUUGGUGGGGUAAAGGCCUACCAAGGCGACGAUCAGUAGCUGGUCUGAGAGGAUGAGCAGCCACACUGGGACUGAGACACGGCCCAGACUCCUACGGGAGGCAGCAGUGGGGAAUUUUCCGCAAUGGGCGAAAGCCUGACGGAGCAACGCCGCGUGGGGGAGGAAGGUCUUUGGAUUGUAAACCUCUUUUCUCAAGGAAGAAGUUCUGACGGUACUUGAGGAAUCAGCCUCGGCUAACUCCGUGCCAGCAGCCGCGGUAAUACGGGGGAGGCAAGCGUUAUCCGGAAUUAUUGGGCGUAAAGCGUCCGCAGGUGGUCAGCCAAGUCUGCC